CCUUGUACACACCGCCCGUCACACCAUGGGGGUUGGUUCUACCUUAAGUGGCUGCGGCAACCGCAAGGGCUAGGUCACCACGGCAGGGUCAGCGACUGGGGUG
rnacentral:rRNA from 1 species